rnacentral:rRNA from 1 species
UGGGGAAUAUUGGACAAUGGGCGCAAGCCUGAUCCAGCCAUGCCGCGUGUGUGAAGAAGGUCUUCGGAUUGUAAAGCACUUUAAGUUGGGAGGAAGGGCAUUAACCUAAUACGUUAGUGUUUUGACGUUACCGACAGAAUAAGCACCGGCUAACUCUGUGCCAGCAGCCGCGGUAAUACAGAGGGUGCAAGCGUUAAUCGGAAUUACUGGGCGUAAAGCGCGCGUAGGUGGUUUGUUAAGUUGGAUGUGAAAUCCCCGGGCUCAACCUGGGAACUGCAUUCAAAACUGACUGACUAGAGUAUGGUAGAGGGUGGUGGAAUUUCCUGUGUAGCGGUGAAAUGCGUAGAUAUAGGAAGGAACACCAGUGGCGAAGGCGGCCACCUGGACUAAUACUGACACUGAGGUGCGAAAGCGUGGGGAGCAAACA